rnacentral:rRNA from 1 species
AGCAUAUUCAUUUGACGUUAGCUGCAGAAGAAAGCACCGGCUAACUCCGUGCCAGCAGCCGCGGUAAUACGGAGGGUGCGAGCGUUAAUCGGAAUUACUGGGCGUAAAGCGCAUGCAGGUGGUUUGUUAAGUCAGAUGUGAAAGACCCGGGGCGUCAACCUCGGAAUUGCAUUUGUAAACUAGGCAAACUAGAGUACUGUAGAGGGGGGUAGGAAGUUUCAGGUGUAGCGGUGAAAUAGCGUAGAGAUCUGAAGGAAUACCGGUGGCGAAGGCGGCCCCCUCGGACAGAUACUGACACUCAGAUGCGAAAGCGUGGGGAGCAAACAGGAUUAGAUACCCUGGUAG